AUACUUACCUGGCAGGAGAGAUACCGUGAUCAGGAAGGUGGUUUUUCACAAGGCAAGGCUUAUCCAUUGCACUCUAGAUGUGUUGACCCCUGCAAUUUCCCCAAAUGAGAGAAACACAACUGCAUAAUUUGUGGUAGUGCAUUCAGGCUCU
rfam:Neotoma lepida isolate 417 scaffold_17080, whole genome shotgun sequence.